CCUACGGGAGGCAGCAGUGGGGAAUAUUGGUCAAUGGGCGCAAGCCUGACCCAGCAACGCCGCGUGAAGGAAGAAGGCUUUCGGGUUUGAAACUUCCUUUUUGAGGGACGAAGAAUGUGACGGUACCUCAGUAAUAAGCCACGGCUAACUACUUGCCAGCAGCCGCGGUAAUACGUAGGUGGCAAGAGUUAUCCGGAUUUAUUGGUUGUAAAGGGUGUGUAGGCGGGAAAGUAAGUCAGUUGUGAAAUCUCAGGGCUCAACCCUGAGCCUGCAUUUGAAACUGGUUUUCUUGAGUGCUGGGGAGGCAAUCGGAAUUCCGGGUGUAGCGGUGAAAUGCGUAGAUAUAAGGAGGAACACCAGUGGCGAAGGCGGAUUGCUGGACAGUAACUGACGCUGAGGCGCGAAAGCGUGGGGAGCAAACAGGAUUAGAUACCCCUGUAGUA
rnacentral:rRNA from 1 species